UACAGAGGUCCCAAGCGUUGUUCGGAUUCACUGGGCGUAAAGGGUGCGUAGGCGGUCGGGUAAGUCUGAUGUGAAAUCUCACAGCUUAACUGUGAAACUGCAUUGGAUACUAUUCGGCUUGAGAGUUGGAGGGGGGACUGGAAUACUUGGUGUAGCAGUGAAAUGCGUAGAUAUCAAGUGGAACACCAGUGGCGAAGGCGGCUCACUGGCCCGAUACUGACGCUGAGGCACGAAAGCGUGGGGAGCAAACAGG
rnacentral:rRNA from 1 species